GUCGAACGGUAACAGGAAGCAGCUUGCUGCUUCGCUGACGAGUGGCGGACGGGUGAGUAAUGUCUGGGAAACUGCCUGAUGGAGGGGGAUAACUACUGGAAACGGUAGCUAAUACCGCAUAACGUCGCAAGACCAAAGAGGGGGACCUUCGGGCCUCUUGCCAUCGGAUGUGCCCAGAUGGGAUUAGCUAGUAGGUGGGGUAACGGCUCACCUAGGCGACGAUCCCUAGCUGGUCUGAGAGGAUGACCAGCCACACUGGAACUGAGACACGGUCCAGACUCCUACGGGAGGCAGCAGUGGGGAAUAUUGCACAAUGGGCGCAAGCCUGAUGCAGCCAUGCCGCGUGUAUGAAGAAGGCCUUCGGGUUGUAAAGUACUUUCAGCGGGGAGGAAGGCGAUAAGGUUAAUAACCUUGUCGAUUGACGUUACCCGCAGAAGAAGCACCGGCUAACUCCGUGCCAGCAGCCGCGGUAAUACGGAGGGUGCAAGCGUUAAUCGGAAUUACUGGGCGUAAAGCGCACGCAGGCGGUCUGUCAAGUCGGAUGUGAAAUCCCCGGGCUCAACCUGGGAACUGCAUUCGAAACUGGCAGGCUAGAGUCUUGUAGAGGGGGGUAGAAUUCCAGGUGUAGCGGUGAAAUGCGUAGAGAUCUGGAGGAAUACCGGUGGC
rnacentral:rRNA from 1 species